ACAUUCAGUCCCAUCUACAAAUGUAAAGUGUCCUCCGGGCUCAGUCCCAUCUACAAAUGUAAAGUGUCCUUUGGACUCUGUCCAUCUCAUGAGGUAUUUGGAACAUGGAGGCAGGAGUGUUUUCAGGUUUCCUUCCUUACCUUUGAGCUGUGUGUGCGGGGCGAAGGGGGCUCCAAUGUUCCCAGGGCUGAGGCUCUGUCCUUCUUCCCCCAGCCCAGAGAAAGGCUGAUUUCCAACAUCCUGCAGGGGCUGUGGGGCCAGAGCCCACAGACAGAGGCCUGCAGAGGAGGUAAUUCUGUCCAAAGACCCCAGACUCCCACCCGCUCCUGGCCCAUUCACUGCCCCUAAAGCUCCCGUUCCUCCCCCAGGUCCAGCCCAGCUGCCGAUGCCCAGGAAGAAAACCUCUAUGCUGCCGUGAAGGACACACAGCCUGAGGACGGAGUGGAGCUGGACACUCGGGUGAGGCCCUGCCCCUGUCCCGGCCACCAAAGGCCUCCUGGUGCCAGAUCUAAUCCUGCAGGACUUCUCUGUCCUCCUUCCCCCGGCUCUCAGCAUCGUCACAGUGGACCCCUCCUUGUCCAGCACGCUGCCUCCCGCCUGCUGGGACCUCACUCUCUCCUGCUGUCCUGGGACCUCGUGGGCCUCCUCCCGGGUCCCCUUCCUGCUCCUCAUCCUCUGUUUGGCCGUCUGGUUGUUAGAGCGCUCCCCAGGCCUCAGGAGGAUGAGGAAUAAAUGAACCACCCCGGUCCCCUGGGCUCCCCUUCAUUCAUUCAUCCAGCGAGUGUUCCCAGGGAGCUCACUGUGGAUGGGGCUCCCCAUGGGAGCUGCAGACACAGCAGGGAGCAAAGCCGCCCCCGCCUCCUGAGCUCACCUCAUGGUGGGAGACAAAAUGCAAAUAAAUGCGCCGUGUCCAGGAGUGCAACGUGCUGUAAGGAACAUAAACCAGGGAAAGGGC
rnacentral:sRNA from 1 species